AGUGGCGGACGGGUGAGUAACGCGUGGGUAACCUGCCUCAUACAGGGGGAUAACACGCUGGAAACGGCUGCCUAAAACCGCAUAAUAUAGCCGAGACCGCAGUGAUCUUGCUAUCAAAUAGUUUAUAGGUAUGAGAGUGGGCCCGCGUCUGAUUAGCUAGUUGGUGGGGUAAUGGCCUACCAAGGCGACGAUCAGUAGCCGGCUUGGAGAGAGUGACCGGCCACAUUGGGACUGAGACACGGCCCAAACUCCUACGGGAGGCAGCAGUGGGGAAUAUUGCACAAUGGGCGAAAGCCUGAUGCCAGCGACGCUGCGUGGGUGAAGAAGUAUUUCGGUAUGUAAAGCUCUAUCAGCAGGGAAGAUAAUGACAGUACCUGACUAAGAAGCCCCGGCUAACUACGUGCCAGCCGCCGC
rnacentral:rRNA from 1 species